CCCCGCUGAGCAGGGAGCCCGAUGCGAUGCGGGGCUCGAUCCCAGGACCCUGGGAUCAUGACCUGAGCCAAAGGCAGACGCUUAACCGCCUGAGCCCCCCAGGCACCGCAAGGAGAUCCGUAAGAGCUGUAAAACGUGGUAUUUCCCUGAAACAACAUUUCUAUAUAUUUUUUACGCAGAGAAGACCCUGCUGUAGGUGCCUCACCAGCUUGCUCUGUUUUCACUUCCGGAGGAGCUGGGGCAGCCUUGCAUAGUUUUUAGCAUAUGCUUUUUGAUACCUGCAACCCUUUCUUUUGCAUAUUUGUAUGUAUUCCGAAAGUGUAGUUAAAAUCCUUUCAGCCUGAGGUGGAGGGUUCAUGUUCAUUAACUGAAAAAAAUUAAUUAGUCGUAGACUUUGAAUUACAUUGUAUUGCUAACACUUUCUGAAUGCUUCCUCUCUACCCAAUACCAUACCAACUGCUUUACAAGCAUUAUUGCGUUAUGUUGUGGGGCAAAUUUAACAUAGGAUGUUGUCAGGCUAAAUACGCAGAAGCAAAUCCCCGCUCCGAGCUGUCCGCCAAAUCCAUCUGCCUCCAGCUUUGUGUCUCCUUAUUUGUCCCAGCAUUUAUGGCGACAAAAGCAGAACUUUACUUCUCAUGGACUAUGAUUCCAUACAGAACUUAAUACUUAACUACUUAUUGCUAAUGACCGAAAUGAAGAGAAAGAGAAGACAGUCUAAAGAAAAUCAUUGGGAUAGAUGAAUCAGCGGCCUGUCGGAUUUGGCAGUGGUUCAGGUCAGCACCAUAACCAACUUCAUCGUUAUCAGUGGGCCUUCCUGUGUAAGUGCAAGACUACUCUAGUGGAAGAGCAAGAUUUAAUGAAAAAUUAAAAAUUAUUUAAUUUAUGGUAUUUAGACAGGCACAGGAUAGGAAGCUGUAAGUGGAAAUGGAAAGUUAUUUGGGAGAAAACCGGGCACUUCUGUAGACACUGCCAAGGUCAUCAGAGGGGGGAUUUACCAGGACCCAUCCCUUCUUUUGAGUUGGCUGCCUCUCUGUCCUCUCUGGUACCAAUCUACUGCAAAUCUUUGUGGUUUCUCAUCUGGGCGAUUACAGUAAAUGCUCAUUUGGUCUCACUGCCCACCCCCACCCCGACUCAGCUUGUUUUCCACACUAGGGACAGAACCGCCUUUAAAAAUGCAGGUCUGACUGUCAAUCCCUACAAAUCCUCCAGGGAUGCUCCAUCAUGGGCAGGGUGAAUGAAGUCUCAGCACCUUUCUUGGCAUGCGAGUUCCCCACAGCCUUGCCUCUCUUCUCUCUUCACUCCCUUUCCCCCAACCCUUGACUCUGUGCCCCAGAAAUACCGUGUUACAUUCAGUUCCCCAAAAUAUACGAGGCUGCCUCAUUCCUCGGGGGCCAUCGCAUCUGCCACUCGUUUCAUCUGGACCCACUUGGCGCUGUGGGCACUUACAAUAUAUGUGGAAUAAAUGCUCCUUUACUUCUUCUCUGACCUUCUCUGCGUGGACUACCAUACAAGAAUACACCUCAGCUGGCGUCAUUUUUUCAUCAUAUUGCAAUUUUUUAUGUCCCUGUCUUCUCCCACUAGGAGAGUAAAGGGGUUGAAGUUUGUAACUAAAGACAAUUCCCCAUUCAUCUUUGUGGGGUAAGUAUUUAGCACAGAGCCAGACCCCAGUAGUUGUUUGGUUGGUUGGUUGGCUUAUUUUGACAUGAAUUUCAGCAUAUGACUUCUUCUUCUAUGUAUUUAUUCAUUUUCAGAUACGUUCUCUGAGGUGGGAUCCCUUGGCCAAAAUGUAUAAACAUAUUUUUGGUCCUUAAUACAUAUGACCAGAUUGCUGCCAGGGUGUCACCAGUUCAGUGUUUCAUUACUUUGGAAGGCCAGCAGUACCAUAUGAAUGUGUUCAAUGUUACCACGACUUCCUCUAUAUCUGUUGGGUGGUUUUAAUAUUUAUUUUUUUAAAAAGUAAUCUAGUAGGAUUGUGUGCAUGGCAAAUGGUAUGGGCAGAUUGUUUUUAGAUAGAUUGCUUUCACUUUUCUAAGCUAGUUACUUCAAGAAGGAAAGGAAGGAUCUGGAAGUGUGCAGAGAAGGAGGGACCUCCAGGGCGUGCUGGGAUUGCAGCCAGGAGUUUCGGCACAUUUCUCUGUGCUGCUCCCUCACUUCCAUUACACUGGCUUAUUUUAAGUGUUUAAAAGCCCAACCCAAUGCAUGCGUUGAACAGGUCACUGUCCCAAAAGGAGCUGAACUUUCGUCAUAGUGGAGAUUAAUCUAGAGAAGAAGUUAUUCUUUAUCAGGAUGAGUCGUUGAGGCGAAACCUCUUUUUCGACUUUCCCAGCUCUCAGGAGGCAGCUUUCCAGUGUUUUCUCAUGUUUGUGGAUGAUUUCUGACUUCUAGACAUUUUAGUUUGCUGCAGGGACGUUUUCCUCCGAAUAUGUAAGUCCUCUGGGUCUCUCUUCCUCCCCGCCGUCUUCUCCUUGGUGAACCAUCUGGGUAGGACAUUUAUCCGAGUGACGAUCUCACACACACGCUGAAAACGCACCUACUAAGGGACUGACUGGGGCUCGCGUGUUUCUGUGCCGAACCUGCAGCAGAGCCUCUCGCUGUUCGCGUGUGCACGACCCCGGGUGGGAUUGCGGGUAUGGGAGGCGGGUGGAAAAAGAGCAGCCCCGAGAAGGGGAGAGGAAGCACACGUGGCCCUACUGCCGUUCUCAUCAGACUCUCCGUUUGGGUAGCGCGUCACAUUUGGCCGGGGCUGAAAAGCAAAUCCGAUAUUUAAUGAGCCACUAAAAUGCCUGGAGCACCAGUGGGCUCGGGGAGGCCUGACCUUCCACUAAAGCUGAAAGCCGGUAAUUGCGCCCGCGUGCCAGCUGGGACCUGGAGGUUUCUGCUCAAAGAGCCGUGGCUUUCCCAUGUUUUUUCUUCUUCCCUCUCGUGUGCAGCCAGCUUCUGACGAGGACUCCGAUCCUCCCGAGAGUUAACUGCUAUCACCUCCAUUAUUUGGAUUAACCCUUACCUCGGAGAGUCUCAGUUUACGGACAGGCCACAUGAACGGCAAUCCUCCCGCGUCAAGGCCUGCGGGGGCACGCGAUAAACCAGGUCCGCUGCCCGGAGGAGGAGGGCGAGCCUUUUUGUUUUUUUAAGCUUGAAAUAGAAUUGUAACUGUGUCUGCCUCAGAAACACACAAGGGAGAGGAAAAGGCUGCUGUAACAGAAUGCCACAGACUGGGUGCCUUGACACAGCAGAUUUAUUUCAGAGGCCUGGAGGCUGGCAAAUCCAAGGUCAAGGCACCACCAAGGCUGGUGUGUUGUAGAGGGUCAGUUGAAUCGGCGUGGAGGGCCACUCCCAUGAGCCUUUACCAUGAAAAUGCUACUCUUGCCUGUGCAGAGCGGGCUGCUUCGUGCCAGAGGUGUCCAGUUUCCGGGACUUCGGACUCUAGAAUUCCCGACUGUUAUGAUCUUUGCAGCCAAUGCGUUAUCCUCAUUUACCAGACGUGCAAACGAAGCUUAAAGAGAUUAGCUGAUUUGAUCAAUAACAAUAUCUAAUAACACCUACUAGAUAAACUAAGUUACUGCGAUGAAUUGGCCAAGAAGGAACCAACCAAUCUCACCAGAGUGUAUACUGAAUGCCCGGUUAGACCUACUUCAUGGGAGGUCUUUAUUGAAAAUGCCCUGAACGAGAUAUUCUCCCUCAAAUGGGUAUCUUCCUCAAGUUCAUAAUGGCACCAUAUUAAGAAAAAAAAUGAAGCUGGGAUAAACCUCUGCAAAGCUUACCUCAUCCAGUUUCUGCGAUAACAGACUGGCUGGCGUUGCGACGGUGUUGUACGUAGUGCUUCCUGGUGAAAAAGACCAUGCCCUUCAUUGAGGUAAGAGAGAGAAGUAUUUGCCUACUUGUGAUUCACAAAUGAUCUUUUUAGCAUUUGGGACGUGAACUGUUAACUCUGUGAAACUUUCAUAACAAUGAUCAAUGAACUUUAUAUAUGAAACACCUACCAGCACCUCUGCUUAAGGAAAAAACCCCACUUCGGUUAGAAAUGGGAUUUUAUCGUAGUAAAAUGGCA